CCCUUAGAUGUUCUGGGCGGCCCGCGCACUACACUGGCACUCUCAAUCAGAGCCUGGAUCUAACACUUUGGGGUAUUCUAUGAAGUGGUGUCGUGACUGGGAUUAACCCUUGCAAUUAUUGGUUACGAACGAGGAAUUCCUUGUAAUCGCGGUUUAUCAGCCCGCGUUGAAUGCGUCCCUGCCCUUUGUACACACCGCCCGUCGCUCCUACCGAUGGAUCGUCCGGUGAAGCUCAUGGAGAGGCGGUUGUCUCAGCUGCCGUCGAAGUGAAAUGGACCUCACGAUCUAGAGGAAGGAGAAGUCGUAACA
rnacentral:rRNA from 1 species